rnacentral:rRNA from 1 species
GCAUAUCAAUAAGCGGAGGAAAAGAAAAUAACAAUGAUUCCCCUAGUAACUGCGAGUGAAGAGGGACAAGCUCAAAUUUUAAAUCUAUCGGGUUUUACCCGAUCGAGUUGUAAUUUGAAGAGGCGUUUUCUGCGUAUUCGGUCAGCCCAAGUCCUAUUGAAUGAGGCAUCAUGGAGGGUGAUAAUCCCGUCCGGUUGAUCAUUUGCGUUUUACGAUACGCUUUCUAAGAGUCAAGUUGUUUGGGAUUGCAGCUUAAAAUGGGAGGUAAAUUUCUCCUAAGGCUAAAUAACGGCGAGAGACCGAUAGCGAACAAGUACCGUGAGGGAAAGAUGAAAAGAACUUUGAAAAGAGAGUUAAACAGUACGUGAAAUUGUUGAAAGGGAAACGAUUGAAGCCAGUCGUACCUUCGGGUAAUCAGCCUUUUGGGUGUGAUUACGUGGAGCGUGAGGAGUUAAACGCCUUCAUGCCUGCAUAUUCGUGCACUUUGGGUGUACUUGCCUGUGUGGUUGGUUAACAUCAAUUUUGGUUAUCAUAAAAUGACUGGAGGAAUGUAGCUUCGAUCUCGUAUUGAAGUGUUAUAGCCUCCGGUAGAUGUGAUGAUCGAGAUUGAGGAUUGCAACGGAUACCCUUCGGGGCUACCUGUCUGGUCUCUGAUCGUUGCUCUGGUGCCGAAAGCUUGCUUACGGUUAUCAAAGUCGACGUUCAAAAGGUUAGAACGGGUUAAAUUNGUUAAGGAUGUUGACGUA